rnacentral:rRNA from 1 species
UACGUAGGUGGCAAGCGUUGUCCGGAUUUACUGGGCGUAAAGAGCGCGCAGGCGGUUGACUAAGUCGAAUGUGAAAGCCCCCGGCUCAACUGGGGAGGGUCAUUCGAUACUGAUUGACUUGAAGGCAGGAGAGAGAAGUGGAAUUCCCGGUGUAGUGGUGAAAUGCGUAGAUAUCGGGAGGAACACCAAUUGCGAAGGCAGCUCGCUGGGACGUAACUGACGCUGAGACGCGAAAGCGUGGGGAGCAAACAGG